CCUACGGGAGGCUGCAGUGGGGAAUAUUGCACAAUGGGGGAAACCCUGAUGCAGCGACGCCGCGUGAGUGAAGAAGUCAUUCGUUAUGUAAAGCUCUAUCAGCAGGGAAGAAAAUGACGGUACCUGAGUAAGACGCCCCGGCUAACUACGUGCCAGCAGCAGCGGUCAUACGGAGGGGGCAAGCGUUAUCCGGAUUGACUGGGUGUAAAGGGAGCGUAGACGGCAGGGCAAGUCUGGAGUGAAAGGCGGGGGCUCAACCCACGGACUGCUCUGGAAACUGUACGGCUGGAGUGCAGGAGAGGUAAGUGGAAUUCCUAGUGUAGCGGUGAAAUGCGUAGAUAUUAGGAGGAACACCAGUGGCGAAGGCGGCUUACUGGACUGUAACUGACGUUGAGGCUCGAAAGCGUGGGGAGCAAACAGGAUUAGAUACCCCGGUAGUC
rnacentral:rRNA from 1 species